rnacentral:rRNA from 1 species
UACAGAGGGGGCCAGCGUUAUUCGGAAUUAUUGGGCGUAAAGGGCGCGUAGGCGGGAUGGCAAGUCGGUCGUGAAAUCCCUCGGCUCAACCGAGGAACGUCGAUCGAUACUGCUGUUCUUGAGGAUUGCAGAGGAGACUGGAAUUCCCGGUGUAGCGGUGAAAUGUGUAGAGAUCGGGAGGAACACCGGUGGCGAAGGCGGGUCUCUGGACAAUUCCUGACGCUGAGGCGCGAAAGCGUGGGGAGCAAACGGG